rnacentral:tRNA from 1 species
GGGCUGGUGGCGGAACUGGUAGACGCGUACGCUUCAGGAGCGUAUGACGAAAGUCUUGGAGGUUCGAGUCCUCUCCGGCCCACAA